rnacentral:ncRNA from 1 species
AUUUCUAUUUUGAACUAUCUUGCACCUUUAUUUGGAAACAGAUAAAGUGGACACCGCUAAUUCGGGGAAGACUAAGUUUUAUAUAUGUUAAUCCCGAGCUAGGAGAAAUCCAAGUGUAGAGACUUUAUACGGUGUACCUAAAGUUAGUAAACUAUGGUAAAGAGAAAGUCCAGACUACAAACACAUUUGUGG